GGAGCCAUAGCUCAGUGGUAGAACAUUGCUUUACACGCAGAAGGUCCCAGGUUCAAUCCCUGGAAUCUCCA